GUUUAACUGGCGAGUCCCAAGGAGGACGAAACGCGCGUCCUGGAU
rnacentral:hammerhead_ribozyme from 1 species